rnacentral:rRNA from 1 species
UGAGGAAUUUUCCGCAAUGGGCGAAAGCCUGACGGAGCAAUGCCGCGUGAAGGAUGAAGGCCUAUGGGUUGUAAACUUCUUUUCUCAGAGAAGAAAUUUUGACGGUAUCUGAGGAAUAAGCAUCGGCUAACUCUGUGCCAGCAGCCGCGGUAAGACAGAGGAUGCAAGCGUUAUCCGGAAUGAUUGGGCGUAAAGCGUCUGUAGGUGGCUUAAAAAGUCUCCUGUCAAAGAUCAGGGCUUAACCCUGGGCCGGCAGGAGAAACUCUUAGGCUAGAGUUUGGUAGGGGCAGAGGGAAUUCCCGGUGGAGCGGUGAAAUGCGUAGAGAUCGGGAGGAACACCAAAGGCGAAAGCACUCUGCUGGGCCACAACUGACACUGAGAGACGAAAGCGAGGGGAGCA